CUUUGACAUCUCGGCGGAAAACAUCUUGAAGACAACUUCCCAAGGAGGAACCAGAGGCGCAAAGCACGACAUCCAACAAGAACAAAUGGCUGAUGCUGGCGAUGGUAAUUCUGCUGCCGCUGCUGGCACCGAGGGAUCAGACGUUGACCUGGUACGGGAAGAGGACCUGGCCCUGGCAGAGGAAGCCCUCGGAAAGUUGACCCAACUGUUGGACGAUCCCCGGAUGGACACCGAAGAGUUGCGUCAGCUGUUGGAACUGUGCAACGACAAACUUCAGCUCAUCGUGGAGCAAGCAUUCGAAGGGAUGUCCGACGAGGUGGCCGCGUUUCUGCAGGAGCUGAUGAUGGCCCAGCUGCACGGGGAACCCUAUUACAGGGUACAGGGGGAUCGCUUGGUGGACGUGGUGCGGAAACUGAGGGACAUUGGCGUGCUGGAGGUGUCGCCGGAUGACGAAAGUUUGGUUAGGAUUGUUUUGUAGGGGA
rnacentral:lncRNA from 1 species